rnacentral:lncRNA from 1 species
AUGCACUUCCCAUCACCCGCAGGCUCCUCCGCGCCCUCUGCCCCUCGCCCGCAGAGGGUCCCCGAGCCCGUUUCGCGCACUCGUCUUCGGCGGGGCGCAAGCCCUCUCUCCUCCGCCCCGGCCCGGGCUCGGUCGGGCAGACCGCAGUGGUCGGCCCGAGCGCCCCAGCGCAGCAGGCUGUGCCGCCGGGUGCCCCACAGCUCCAGUGCGCGCCGCAGCCAAAGGCAGAGGAGGCAGCACGCGCAGCGCGACGCCCCGACACCGAUUUACCCUUUCGGAUGGGCACCGGGAGCCUCCAUGUUCCUGGGUUGGGGCCAGCGCCGGCAGGACCUGGCGGCGGGCGGGCGGGCGGCGGCGGCUGAGGGGUGCGGGCGGCCAGCCGGGAGCCGGCUCUGCAGUCCCGCGGGCGGCGAGUACGGAGCGCCCGGCCGCCGCCCGCAGCCGCACCGCGCCACGCAGCGCCGCACCUGGCCCGGCAGCGAACUCGAAUUAAAGGGACCGGGGGCCGGCGGGGGCGGAGGCGGCGGGGCGAGGCGCGCCACUGCCGCCGCCACCGAGCUGGCGGCGCCCUCGGACCCCGGCCUCGGCCCCCUCCCCACGAGGGACCCCCCCACCCCACCCCCACUCUUCGGCGGAGCCGCAAUUACUGACCCUAUCCCCGCGGGCUGCUCAGCUGGGGGACUGCGGGGCGGCGUGCCGCAGGGGCAGAAGUUGAGGAGCGCUUGGGAGAGGCUUCUGCAGGCGAUCCCAGGCCGGAGGCUGUUCUUUCGAGGCGGCCGGACGGGAGCAGCAGACCCCUCGGCGUCCUCUCCUGUCCGCGGGCCCUUUCCUCCGCCUCAGCUGCCCACCUCCCUCUUACCCAGCCGAGCCGUGGCUCUUCAGAGGGGUGCAGCAGGUGCGGGCCGCAGGGUGGCAGAAACUCACUGCCUUGCCCCCGCCUCGCGGCCUGGGGAGCGGCAGGAACAGACCACAACUGCAGGGCCGGCCCUCUGGCCUCCCUGA